UGUUGCCCGAACCUAUGUUGCCUCGGCGGGCCCCGCGCCCGCCGACGGCCCCCCUGACGCUGUCUGAGGUUGCAGUCUGAGACCUAUAACGAAAUUAGUUAAAACUUUCAACAACGGAUCUCUUGGUUCCGGCAUCGAUGAAGAACGCAGCGAAAUGCGAUAACUAAUGUGAAUUGCAGAAUUCAGUGAAUCAUCGAGUCUUUGAACGCACAUUGCGCCCUCUGGUAUUCCGGAGGGCAUGCCUGUCCGAGCGUCAUUGCUGCCCUCAAGCCCGGCUUGUGUGUUGGGCCCCGUCCCCCCGCCGGGGGGACGGGCCCGAAAGGCAGCGGCGGCACCGCGUCCGGUCCUCGAGCGUAUGGGGCUUCGUCACCCGCUCUAGUAGGCCCGGCCGGCGCNGCCAACCCCAACCUUUAUUAUCUCAGUUGACCUCGGAUCAGUAGGGAUACCCGCUGACUUAAGCAUAUCAAUAACGGAAGAAUUCCGUAGGAGACCUGCGGAAGGAUCAUUACCGAGUGCGGGCCCCUCGGGGCCCAACCUCCCACCCGUGUUGCCCGAAACCUAUGUUGCCUCGGCGGGCCCCGCGCCCGCCCGACGGCCCCCCCUGAACGCUGUCUGAAGUUGCAGUCUGAGACCUAUAACGAAAUUAGUUAAAACUUUCAACAACGGAUCUCUUGGUUCCGGCAUCGAUGAAGAACGCAGCGAAAUGCGAUAACUAAUGUGAAUUGCAGAAUUCAGUGAAUCAUCGAGUCUUUGAACGCACAUUGCGCCCUCUGGUAUUCCGGAGGGCAUGCCUGUCCGAGCGUCAUUGCUGCCCUCAAGCCCGGCUUGUGUGUUGGGCCCCGUCCCCCCCGCCGGGGGGACGGGCCCGAAAGGCAGCGGCGGCACCGCGUCCGGCCUUCGAGCGUAUGGGGCUUCGUCACCCGCUCUAGUAGGCCCGGCAGGCGCCAGCCGACUUCCAAC
rnacentral:misc_RNA from 1 species